AGAGUUUGAUCCUGGCUCAGAUUGAACGCUGGCGGCAGGCCUAACACAUGCAAGUCGAACGGUAGCACAGAAGAGCUUGCUCUUCGGGUGACGAGUGGCGGACGGGUGAGUAAUGUCUGGGAAACUGCCUGAUGGAGGGGGAUAACUACUGGAAACGGUAGCUAAUACCGCAUAACGUCGCAAGACCAAAGAGGGGGACCUUCGGGCCUCUUGCCAUCAGAUGUGCCCAGAUGGGAUUAGCUAGUAGGUGGGGUAACGGCUCACCUAGGCGACGAUCCCUAGCUGGUCUGAGAGGAUGACCAGCCACACUGGAACUGAGACACGGUCCAGACUCCUACGGGAGGCAGCAGUGGGGAAUAUUGCACAAUGGGCGCAAGCCUGAUGCAGCCAUGCCGCGUUUAUGAAGAAGGCCUUCGGGUUGUAAAGUACUUUCAGCGAGGAGGAAGGCAUUAAGGUUAAUAACCUUGGUGAUUGACGUUACUCGCAGAAGAAGCACCGGCUAACUCCGUGCCAGCAGCCGCGGUAAUACGGAGGGUGCAAGCGUUAAUCGGAAUUACUGGGCGUAAAGCGCACGCAGGCGGUCUGUCAAGUCGGAUGUGAAAUCCCCGGGCUCAACCUGGGAACUGCAUUCGAAACUGGCAGGCUAGAGUCUUGUAGAGGGGGUAGAAUUCCAGGUGUAGCGGUGAAAUGCGUAGAGAUCUGGAGGAAUACCGGUGGCGAAGGCGGCCCCCUGGACAAAGACUGACGCUCAGGUGCGAAAGCGUGGGGAGCAAACAGGAUUAGAUACCCUGCUAGUCCACGCCGUAAACGAUGUCGACUUGGAGGUUGUUCCCUUGAGGAGUGGCUUCCGGAGCUAACCCGUU
rnacentral:rRNA from 1 species